rnacentral:rRNA from 1 species
UACGGAGGAUGCAAGCGUUAUCCGGAUUUAUUGGGUUUAAAGGGUACGUAGGCGGAUAUGUAAGUCAGCGGUGAAACUCACAGGCUCAACCUGUGCCGUGCCGUUGAAACUGUGUAUCUGGAAUGCGGAUGCUGUGGGAGGAAUGUGUAGUGUAGCGGUGAAAUGCAUAGAUAUUACACAGAACACCGAUUGCGAAGGCAUCUCACAAAGCCGUUAUUGACGCUGAGGCACGAAAGUGUGGGGAUCAAACA